CAUGCAGCUAAUGACACUGUUUGGUGACCAAAGUCUGACAAAAAUGAUUGCUGCCCAUCAUCUGAUGCAAA